UGUACCGUUGUAUUUUGACUGAGCGAAGGAGUGACACAGCAGGCAGCUCGAGCGCGCGGAUGGAAGAGCGCGUCGAAGCCGGUAGGCUGCAGUAAAGGGAAAUCCGUACUGCAAAAGGCCGAGAAGUGACAGAUAGGCGAAUCUGCGGAGGAGCCGAAUUUGAGCAUGCCACACUGUCGAGAAAAGCUUCUAGCGAGAAAUGCAGCGCCCGUACCGCAAACCGACACAGGUAGACGGGGAGAGAAUCCUAAGGUGCGCGGGACAACCCUCGUUAAG
rnacentral:rRNA from 1 species